CCGAAAAAUCAUAAACCUUCUCUUUCCCGUUUCGCCCUCUGCACGCUCUCAGAGGCGGCGCUUUCUAAGUCCCAUUUAUAGAUUCCUUAAAUUGCAAUAGGCGCUCCUGCCCUUCGAGGCCCCUGGGCACUUUGCCUACGCUCAGAGGCUAGCUUGUCUGGGUGGUCUCGCCCCCGCUGAGCUUCCCCCGUCCGCUGUCUCCCAUUUUCCUCCGCUCCGCAGGAUCGGAUGCGGCGGAAGAGCCGCUCCAGGAGCAGUGCGAAGGGUGGAGAAAGUCUGGCGUCGGGGACGGAGAAGGCAGGCGGGCGGGCUGCAGCUGGGGGAGGCCAGAGAGCAUCGGUUCGGGCGCCGAAUUCUGCCGCCCCCUUUUUCCUGUUGGGGAAGUUGGGGGGUCCCACUUGGGACAAGAGGUGGUUAAGGCAGGGAGGACAAGGAUGGGGAUGAGUUGGGCCAGAAGUCAGAAUAGAAGAAUGGCACCAUCAACGCCCAGCCCGACUGCCACUUAUCCUGCGUCACUAAGAGAGGCCCCCGCAGACCAACAGCAGUAAUUCACCACUUCACUGACAACCAUAUCAGCAAAAAAGCAGUGGCAGCUCAUCCAAUGCUACCAUCUCAGAACUCAAGAGUGGAAUCGGUUGCUAACAGGCAGGGAGUGUCGUGCUCCAGCAUAUAACUUUUUAUAUAUACGGCCGUUCCCCUUCAUGGAUUACUGCCUUGUCAUGGCAAUGGGGCUUGUGUAGCUCAAUGAAGCUACGAGCUGUGCCAUGCUGGGCCACCCAAGACGGACAGGUCGUAGCAGAGAGCUCUGACAGGUUCCUUGCAUGGAAGAAGAGAAAAGGAUAACCAUAGGUCGGCUUGACUGUUUUAGUGAGUCUUUCUGUCACAUCUUUACCUUCACACCCAGGAGACAAUAAACUUCUCUUAAGCAGCUGCCUGGUCUGCAAAUUGUUGACUCUGGUCCUUUGAGUAGUGAGUCACCAACCACCAACACAGACCUUUGUUGUUGAUUUUGAAUGGCAUCCAAUUUUGGAAUGC